rfam:Triticum aestivum genome assembly, contig: Triticum_aestivum_CS42_TGACv1_scaffold_230050_3B
CUAAUACUCCCUCCGUCCGGAAAUACUUGUCGUCGAAAUGGCUAAAAGUGGAUGUAUCUAAAACUAAAAUCUGUUUAGAUACAUCCAUUUCUCCGACAAGUAUUUCCGGAUGGAGGGAGUAACAG